rnacentral:lncRNA from 1 species
AUUGGAGUCAAUUCGCCACUUAAUUGAACACAGCCUCGAAGGGAAGGGCCAUAUUUGUGGGCCUGUCUAACAAUUAAGAGUGACCACAUGGAAUGGGGGAUGAAAGGGUUAAAGAAGAACAAAUAUUGAACACAGCUUUUCUAUGAACAAACUGCAGGCAGCUGCUGCUUUGCAAGAAAAACCCUUUGAAAAGAUUCAGCACGUUGCCAUGGAGAACAUCCCACUGAAGGAAUGUAUAGAAGUAGCAGGUGUCAGCUGCCUACCAGUUGCUUUCAUCUCUAGAAAUCUGUGACUUGCAGUAUGACAAGAACAAAAGGUGACAAUACAAAGGACAAAGGGCAAGGAAUACAGACGGAGAAGCCGCUUAGAGUCUAGGAUGGCAGAGGUUCUCUUGAUCAUUUCAUUUUUGAGCGCUUGUAGAGCUUUGGUGUACCAGAGGUGCUUGAACAGCUUACCACACCACAGAUGAAUGGCCUUUGGAUUUCUCCUAAGAAAAUGGGUUGAACCGAACUGGCGAUGCACUGUCUGGAUUGGAUGCAUGUAUGGUCUUACAUGACCCCCAUGAAAGGUUCAUUCAACCCCCCAAAGGGGUUGUGACCCACAGAUUGAGAACCGCUGGUACAGAAGAUCUUCACAUCACCUGAGAGCUUGCCUUGGAAGAAAUUGCAAAAGUUUUGUCUUUCUCAAAGGCUUCUUGCUUGGAAGUUCUUUUUUCACACAGGUAUCCACCAUGCAGUGGCACGUAUAAGAAGACCAUCACCAGACCUAGUGAGGCCAAUGUCACAGCCUUGAGAAAUAUCCAGAACGAUGAGUGAAGCCAACCUUGUUUUACUUUUCCCAUGAUGCUAGCUUGUCUCAGGUUCACUGCAGCAAUAUCUCAAGAAGCUUACGAUGCGCACACACGAGUCAGUACACGUACCAAUGGCGUUUAUUAAAUCCCUCUGCUAAGCAUCUGCUCAAACUCUCCUUAUGCCAUUUGGGCAAUUUUAUUGACUCAUAAUAUUUUUACAAUUAAGGCUAAAUUUAAUUAUUUAUCUCUUGCAUUAGUCAGGAGUGCCCUCUCCAGAUUUUUCACUCAGUGCUUUUACAUUCUAUUUAUCUGAGUUGUGCAUGACAGCAGCGGCUGCCCAGUGAUUGAAGUUUAUUUACUUGAUAUGUGACAAGUUCUGCUUGCUUUCCACUCUUUUCCCACAGUGUAGAGACCUUGGAAACCUAUACUUGAUUUUUAUCCCUAACAUUUUCAGGCAAAAUAAAAAUAAUGUGUGCAAUAAAA